CUGUGAGAUUACAUAUGCAUAUAGUGUUAAUGUUAUAAGAGUGUAGUAUCUACUCACAAAGUUAUCAGGUUAAAUAGUUUUAUCAUAUCUAAUAAAAAUGUUAUUGCAUAACUAAUGUUAUAUACUGUAGCCCUGCCACGAUAUCCAGCGAGAAUUAUUUUGCAUGAGUAUCGUAGUAAAAGUUAAGAUAUGAUGUUGAGAAUUUUUUUGAGUCGUGCAACAAUAUUAACAGCAAACUAUAAUACAAAUCUAUCUUUUUAAAAGUUUGUAU
rnacentral:misc_RNA from 1 species